ACGAACGCUGGCGGCGUGCUUAACCCCUGCAAGUCGCACGGUGAAGGGGCCUGCUUUUGUGGGCCCUGGAUGAGUGGCGAACGGGUGAGUAACACGUGAGUAACCUGCCCCCUUCUUCUGGAUAACCGCAUGAAAGUGUGGCUAAUACGGGAUAUUCUGGGUCUGUCGCAUGAUGGGUCUGGGAAAGAUUGCGCCUUUGGGUGUUUUUGGUGGGGGAUGGGCUCGCGGCCUAUCAGCUUGUUGGUGGGGUGAUGGCCUACCAAGGCGGUGACGGGUAGCCGGCCUGAGAGGGUGGACGGUCACACUGGGACUGAGACACGGCCCAGACUCCUACGGGAGGCAGCAGUGGGGAAUAUUGCACAAUGGGCGCAAGCCUGAUGCAGCGACGCCGCGUGAGGGAUGGAGGCCUUCGGGUUGUAAACCUCUUUCGCCAGUGAAGCAGGCCUGCUCCUUGUGGGUGGGUUGACGGUAGCUGGAUAAGAAGCGCCGGCUAACUACGUG
rnacentral:rRNA from 1 species